GACGAACGCUGGCGGCGUGCCUAAUACAUGCAAGUAGAACGCUGAAGAGAGGAGCUUGCUCUUCUUGGAUGAGUUGCGAACGGGUGAGUAACGCGUAGGUAACCUGCCUUGUAGCGGGGGAUAACUAUUGGAAACGAUAGCUAAUACCGCAUAACAAUGGAUGACACAUGUCAUUUAUUUGAAAGGGGCAAUUGCUCCACUACAAGAUGGACCUGCGUUGUAUUAGCUAGUAGGUGAGGUAAUGGCUCACCCAGGCGACGAUACAUAGCCGACCUGAGAGGGUGAUCGGCCACACUGGGACUGAGACACGGCCCAGACUCCUACGGGAGGCAGCAGUAGGGAAUCUUCGGCAAUGGGGGCAACCCUGACCGAGCAACGCCGCGUGAGUGAAGAAGGGUUUCGGAUCGUAAAGCUCUGUUGUAAGUCAAGAACGGGUGUGAGAGUGGAAAGUUCACACUGUGACGGUAGCUUACCAGAAAGGGACGGCUAACUACGUG
rnacentral:rRNA from 1 species